UGGGUCGGCAAGACGGCCGCGUGGGGCAGCAAUGCCUCCCGAGGAACGUCCGGGCUCCGCAGAGCAUGGCGGUGGGUAACACCCACCCGGGGUAACCCGCGAGAUAGUGCAACAGAAAGCAGACCGCCACUGUGUGUUUCUACACACGGGGGUAAGGGUGAAACGGUGGUGUAAGAGACCACCAGCGGCCGGGGUGACCCGGUCGGCUAUGUAAACCUCGCCAGGAGCAAGGUCAGACAGGAAGCGUUCAAGGCUGCUCGCCCAGCUUCCGGGUAGACCGCUAGAGGCGUGCGGCAACGUACGUCGUAGAUAGAUGGCCGUCCAUCGCCCUCGGGCGAAGACAGAACCCGGCGUAUCAGCCGGCCCAUUCC
rnacentral:RNase_P_RNA from 1 species